rnacentral:misc_RNA from 1 species
UCCGGUUUGACACCGGCAGUCUCCCUAGAGUGCCCGGCUUAACCCGCUGGUAACUAGGGACGAGGGUUGCGCUCGUUGCGGGACUUAACCCAACACCUCACGGCACGAGCUGACGACAGCCAUGCAGCAUCUGUGCGACUUCCUGACUCAACAGGUCGUCCCCGUUUCCGGGUUCUACUUGCCGCAUGUCAAGCCUGGGUAAGGUUCUGCGCGUUGCAUCGAAUUAAACCACACGCUCCGCUGCUUGUGCGGGCCCCCGUCAAUUCCUUUGAGUUUCAGUCUUGCGACCGUACUCCCCAGGCGAAGUGCUUAAUGUGUUGACUUCGGCACAGCAAAGGUCAAUACCCGCUACACCAAGCACUCAUCGUUUACGGCGUGGACUAC